AGGACAAAGCCAAUGGCAAGAUGAAAGGAUUAAACUUCAUACAAUACCUGAACUGGAGCCUGCAGGAAAAGCAGACAGAACCUCUGGGCCAGAGGGCCAAGGGGCCUGGUCACUUCACCAGACCUGUCUCAAUGCCAGCACUUAUUCUGUUAAUAAUGCUUGCACAGAGAAAAGAACUCUGGCCUUAGAAGACUAGGCGAGGGGUCUAGGGGAUGGGACAGAGCAUCCAAGUACUCUUGGGAGAGUAAGGAGUUGUUCUUUGGCAUUAUCUCCCACUCUUGUUCUUGUGAAGAUGAAUGAGAACAAAGAAAGGAUCCCAAAACACAAAUUAGGAGACCUGGGCAAGAUGGGAAAUAACAUCUAAGAUCCCUCUGAUGCUACCAUUGUACUUUAUGACAUAGAAUGCUUUAUCAUCUACGCCUAGGCUGAAGCCUGGUAACCUCCCCUGGUAACUAAACCAAUGAUCUCAGAGAGAACUAGGUAAGAAUCCGAGGGAACAUUCUGCUCACACAAAGGCAAGAACAAGUAAAGAAACCCUCUUCAGAGGUCAUCAUUACAUCUAGGACCUAACCAUCGAGUAAAUGCUCGUCCUCUCCCAUCGAGUGCUGGAUUAACCAACGAGCCUGGCACCAGCGGAGCUGAAGUACACUGGCCAGCAGAAUGCUCUGCUUCUGGAGCAGAGCACAAGACAACAGUUUAGGAGCAAGAAAGACCUUCUGGACUUACUAUGUUCAAACUGCAGAAUUUCCAUAAAGACUCCAGUGUUUUGAACUUACCUACAAGUGACAGAGUCAGACCUCUGAAGGAAUGGAACCUGAAGUAGAGAGCCUUUUAUAUUCAGGCUACAGAAGACAAUGUCCUAGGUCCAAACAAUUUAGAGGAAACCAGAAUAAAGCAUCAAAUAUCCUCAGAAGCAGCAGACCAAGGAAACAAGAAGAAACAGGAUCCUGACUGCCAAGGAAGCACUUUCAACUCUCAACCACUCUCUGGUAAUCAUCACCAGUCAGAGCUGGACUCUGAAGUUCCAACUUACAAGUCUGAAAGGAUGAGAGGCCAAGCAGCUCCAGUCAUUUCUUAGAGGAUUUAGAAACCUAUGCUGCUUCAUAAAAAAAAAAAAUUGUUCUCUGCAGAGACAACUGCCCAAAACUACUGGAAGCAGGCCACCAUGGGGAAAAGCCACCACCAUGGGGAAAAAAGCAAAACCACCACCACCAAAAAAAGCCCCACAAACAGAAAAACCCCAGCACUGAAUCCGAGCAAGCAGCUGAAGAGCAGCGAGGAAGCACAGCACAGCGCAGGUGUGAAGGGGGCAGAGACAGGAGCUGCUUCUGGGGCAGACCAUCUUCCUCCUGUCGCCUCUUGUUUGAGACAGGUCUCACUCUGCAUCUCAGUCUGGCCUCAAACUCACAGGGGACCCUCUGCCUCAGAUUCCCCAGGAUAACAGCUGUGAGCCACCACAAAUUGCUUCUUUCCUCUUUGAUAUGUAUGUCAUUUUCGAUAAAGAUUUAUGUAUGAGU